AUGGUUAGGAAUGUUUUAGAGUUAUUUUUAACCAUUUUAUUUGUAUUUAUUUGUGACUUUUUGUUUGUAUUUAUCUUCCUCAGCAUGGGAGAGCUGGUGAAUUCUGAGAAACACUUGGGACAUGGAAGAGCGUUUCAUAUGGUGGAGAGUAGAAAAAAAAGUGGUGUUAAGGUUUCAUCUACUGUUUUACUCCACCAAAAGAUACUUUUCUAUAUCUUUACAUGGCAGGUAUAUUCUAUAGCAUUCUUCCACAGGAGGAAGAAAAUAGCGACUCUUCAGGCCAAAAAAGUGAAAAAGUUGUCUCUUAACUAAUUUUUAUUCCUGCAAACAAACAAAAGCAUUCAACAGAGAGCUUGACUUUACCAAGAGUGAAGUGCGCUUUAGUCUAGAGGUGUAAUUAUUAAAAUUUCUAGGAAAAAAUACUUAAAAUCUUUUACUUUCUUAAACUAAAGUGAAAAUGCAUAGCUUCUGAUUAACCAUGCUAUUAGCAAUGUAGCAGACUUUACGUCUGAACAUCAUGACACCAUCAACUCAACCCAUUUUCAUGAAUAUUUCCAACUGUUGUGAUUAAACAGCAUACAUUCAGAUUAAACAGACACAUAGCUCAGAUGAGAGAGACCUUUAAUGAAUUUUGAUACUGUGGGAUAUAAACUAGAUAAGGUUUGUAGAAAAGGUGAUACCUUUCAUUAGAUAAACUGAUAGAAAUGGAAAAAAUAAAGUUUUUGACUUGACUGACA
rnacentral:lncRNA from 1 species